UACGUAGGGGGCAAGCGUUGUCCGGAUUUAUUGGGCGUAAAGAGCGUGUAGGCGGCCAUACAGGUCAGCUGUGAAAACUCGAGGCUCAACCUCGAGACGUCGGUUGAAACCGUAUGGCUAGAGUCCGGAAGAGGAGAGUGGAAUUCCCGGUGUAGCGGUGAAAUGCGCAGAUAUCGGGAAGAACACCUAUGGCGAAGGCAGCUUACUGGGCUGUAACUGACGCUGAUGCACGAAAGUGUGGGGAUCAAACAGG
rnacentral:rRNA from 1 species